GGACGAACGCUGGCGGCGUGCUUAACACAUGCAAGUCGAACGGGCCUGUCUUCUUUUUUGGGGGUGGGUUGAGUGGCGAACGGGUGAGUAUCACGUGAGUAACCUGCCCUUCGGUCCUGGAUAACCGCUUGAAAGGGCGGCUAAUACGGGGUGGUCCGGUUGGUCCGCAUGGGCUGGUCGGGAUAGAUUCACUGUUUUUGGUGUUUCGGCGGGGGAUGGGCUCGCGGCCUAUCAGCUUGUUGGUGGGGUGAUGGCCUACCAAGGCGGUGACGGGUAGCCGGCCUGAGAGGGUGGGCGGCCACACUGGGACUGAGAUACGGCCCAGACUCCUGCGGGAGGCAGCAGUGGGGGGUAUUGCACAAUGGGCGGAAGCCUGAUGCAGCGACGUCGCGUGAGGGAUGGAGGCCUUCGGGUUGUGAACCUCUGUUUCCGGUGGUGAAGGCCCUGUCCGUGUGGUGGGGUUGACGGUAGCCGGGGAUGAAGCGCCGGCUAACUACGUG
rnacentral:rRNA from 1 species